UUGGAGCAUCACCAAUUGGUAUAUCAGAAUACAUCAUAUGUGAGCACCGCCACCACCACUGCUGACCAUACACCAUCUACUACUAGCUGAAAAAACUCUUCUAUAUACAGGACCAAGCACCAUCGACAUAUCCACAGAUGGUGAUUGUACCGUCCAUGCGCAGUGAUCUGGAGCUGAUCUACUAGCUCCAGAAAAAUGUAAGUGCAAUUUCUUCUAUUCACCUCUCUGAUAUUUGACAUACUACUUAUAUUGACAUAUUUGGGCUUUGUCCCUUUUUAUUUUUCAUAAUACUACAUUUGGAACUGAGGAUUCCAGUUGAAAGCGCUGCUUCCCGGCAUCUCUUUACUCAUCUCUACCUACGACCAGAAGGAAGACACUCUGGUUCGGGAAGUUCGAGCAGCUGCAGAUACAAAAAGCAAUGCCAGAAAUCUCAUUUCCUGUUUAUAUGACUUUCCCUUCCACUAUUGUGAUGAGGCAAAUGCAUGCUUUGAACUUAUCUUGCAGUGGGACUUUCAUGCUUGGUCUCUUCCUGAUAUUACUUGGUUAGGAAGAAUCAGUGUACUGAAAAUGAACAUUCUGCCAGCACUUCUUUAACUUGCUUCAAACAUUGUCGGUGCAUAUUCCAGGCCAAUUUGUCCAUCAACUAAAAACAAUAUUGUUUGAGUAUGUUUGGCAGCACCACAGGAUGCAAUUAAUGUAUGACCUCCUUAUACGCCCAAAGCUACAUAAUGGUCAUGGUAUGUUUGAUCUCACCAGAUACUAUAAAACAGUAUAUCUUUAGAAGGUUCUAGAGUUAAGUCACUGGGGAGAAAACGACCAAAGGGAGCACAGGCCACAUUCCAUCUGUGUGCCACUAUCCAUCAAGUGCCACCUUCCAAUAAGUGCCCUGAAUCCUAGUAGUUUACCAAGGGAGAUCACCAAGGAGGACACGAGGAAGAAAACAGCAGACAAUGCUUCAAUCAACAUUUUUAUUAUCAUCCACACGCUGUUGUGCUUACUGCAUUAAUGUUUGUGUUCUGUACCUAGCCAUAUGUGUAGUGUAAGUACUACUUCCUCAACAUAUAUGCAUUAUUUGUAACUUAUUUCAGUUUUGUAUUCAUCUCCUCCCCUCCUGUACAUGGCUCCAAAUUUGACCAUGUUAAUAUUCUUUGUAACCCUCUUCACACUUCGGUCAUGUUCCUACCACCACCCUCUUAAGCACCACUCACCACAAACCGAGAACCAAAUUCUUAUACAUCAUGGCCUGCUUUAUUGCUGUAAUUUAUCUGCAGAGUGCUGGUGGAGAGUGUUGAAAUCAAGCCCUUCCACCCCACAAAAGUAUAAAACCCUACAAUUGCAAUACUACCAAAGUAAGAUUAUGUCCAAAUUCCUAUUACUCAUGUUACUUGCCCUUGCAAAUGAUGUAGAGUCUAACCUUGGUCCCCCAACAGAUUCCAUUCCUAGCCUAGCCUUCCAGCUAAAAAAGGCCUCUCCUUUGUGAACUGUAAUAUCCGCAGCUUACUACCAAAAAUUGAUGCACUACAAGCAUGGUGUUCACAUUUCAAGAACAAAAUCAUUGUGCUCUCUGAAUCGUGGCUAACUGCAAAAAUACCUGACUCUGCAAUUGCAAUACAUGGGUACUCAUGCCAUAGAAAUGACAGAGAAAAAAAGAGGAGGCGGCAUUGUAAUUUAUGUUGACAAUUACAUAAAGUUCACCCCUUUACAAAACUUUAGCUCUCCUGCCACCUUUGAUUUCCUUUCUGGCACAACUGAGAUCCCGUGCAGUAAAUCAAUCAUUGUUGCAGGAAUCUACCACCCACCUAGCUCCCCAGUGCAUUCCCUAUCUGCCAUAGCCCAUCUCCUUAGUGGAAACCAUAGCCCAAAACCCCAAAAGUGAACAGUUGGCCUUUCGAGAUUUUAAUAUGGAUUGGCUGAAUCCUAAAAAUAAUAGUUCUUGCUCGCUGUUUAAGACUUUGUAGCUAACACAAUUAAUUUACUCCCCAACUCGCAUAAACAUUAAAAGACAUAACCAUACCCUGCUCAAUUGGAUUCUCUCCACUUCUACUCAUAUAAUCCAGGACGCAGGUGUUCUCCCUAACAGUUUCAGUGACCACAGCUUAGUGUAUUGCGUGCGCAAAAUAAAGGCUUCUAAAUCCUCUCCCAAGGUUAAAAUCACCAGGUCCUUAAAAAAAUGUAAUCUUGAAUCCUUUCUAAAUGACAUCAAGAACCUCCCAUGGCACAUAUUAUACCUUAUCUCAGUUCUAGCCUGUGCAGUGGAAUUCUUUCAGUCUCCUGCAAGUUUGGAAUUUGCAUGCCCCGCCGCGUAAGGUGAUAGUAAAAGGGCCACAUAUGAAUUGGAUCACAGCUGAUCUCAUUCAAAUGUACCAGUUUCGAGAUUCAUUGUGGUCAAAGUUCAAGCAUACUGGCUCUAUGGACGACCACUGUGCAUAUAGACAAUGGCAAAAUAAAAGCCCAAAACAAACAAAAUUGGUCAAGGCCCAAUCCUCUCCCAAGGUUAAAAUCACCAGGUCCUUAAAAAAUGUAAUAUUGAAUCCUUUCUAAAUGACAUCAAGAACCUCCCAUGGCACAGAUUACACCUUAUCCCAGAUCUAGACUGUGCAGUGGAAUUCUUUCAGUCUAAAUUCCUGCAAGUUUGGAAUUUGCAUGCCCCGCUGUGUAAGGUGAGAGUAAAAGGGCCACAUAUGGAUUGGAUCACAGGUGACCUCAUUCAAAUGUACCAGUUUCAAGAUUCAUUGUGGUCAAAGUUCAAGCAUACUGGCUCUAUGGAUGAUCACUGUGCAUAUAGACA